UACGAAGGGGGCGAGCGUUGUUCGGAUUUACUGGGCGUAAAGGGCGCGUAGGCGGCCUCGCAAGUCGAGUGUGAAAGCCCCGGGCUCAACCUGGGAACUGCGUCUGAUACUGGAUGGCUUGAGUGUGGGAGAGGGAUGCGGAAUUCCAGGUGUAGCGGUGAAAUGCGUAGAUAUCUGGAGGAACACCGGUGGCGAAGGCGGCAUCCUGGACCAUUACUGACACUGAAAAGCGAAAGCCAGGGGAGCAAACGGG
rnacentral:rRNA from 1 species